GGGUGCGAUCAUACCAGCACUAAUGCACCGGAUCCCAUCAGAAUUCCGAAGUUGAGCGUGCUUGGGCGAGAGUAGUACUAGGAUGGGUGACCCCCUGGGAAGUCCUCGUGUUGCACCCC
rfam:Erythranthe guttata cultivar DTN x IM62 scaffold_566_contig_2, whole genome shotgun sequence.